AUGCCGACGGUUAAACAACUUAUCAGAAACGCAAGACAACCAAUACGAAAUGCUCGAAAAAUGGCCGCGCUUAAAGGAUGCCCUCAGCGUCGAGGAACAUGUAUGGUGUAUGUGCGACUCGUUAAGAUCAUGACUUCAAACAAAUAUAAAAAAAAUUGA
rnacentral:rRNA from 1 species